rnacentral:lncRNA from 1 species
AAUUUCCUGUGUUACCUGCAUCACCUGUGCUUCAUGUGCAUUAGUUACCUGCAUCACUUGCAUUACCUAUGUCACAAACAGGAUAAAAGAUAUGGACCCUGACCCAUAGCGCGCUCUCUCCCUCUCCCUCCCUCACUUCUUUUCAUGCCCCUUUCAGAGGUGCCUAAGUCAGUAAAGGCCUCUCACAUGAGACCUGUGUUGGCUUGGCGUGAUCUCUAUCGUCUCAUCUAACAAUCACAGGAGGAUAUGGUAUCUUCUUCUGGCCUCUGUGGGCACUGAACACAUGUGGUUCAUAUACAUACAUGCAGGGUCUCCCUGGAAGAAAAGCAUUUUGUGCCGGGGUGAGGCGGUUGUGUGAAGGAGGGCCUAUUAAGUGCUUAUGAAUUGAGUAGAGAAGAAAGCAAGGAUUCUGGGAAAUUUGAUAAACUCCCUCAAAUCUUGACUGUGGGCUGCUCAGCCCCUAUCUUGCUAUCAGAAGAUGCCAACAAUGGAAAAAGCCAGGAUCAUUAUCUCAGGGGCAAGACCAGCUGACACAGGUUAAUCUUCGCUGUCGCCCUA